rnacentral:misc_RNA from 1 species
GACUCGCGUCAGUCGCGUGCGUGCGUGCUCCCGACUCCCGAUGUAAACAAACGAGACGACAACUGGGUGUCUACAAUUUUACUAAUCUAGAUAUAGAUAUCUAGAUCUACUAAGUUGUGGUUUAUAAUCCAGUUUCCAAGAGUCUUUUCUCGUCUGCUUUGCCGUUUGGAAAACUAAUUAGAGGAAAUUUGGAGGUGAAUCGGC